GUCCCGUGUGGCUCAGUUAGUAGAGCGUGGCAUUUACGAUGCCAGGGUUGUGGGUUCAACUCCCACGGGGGACC